GUAAGGAAAAAGUAUAUCUGGUAUAAGAAGAUGAGGGGAUGAGCUUCUGAUGAUUUUUUUUUUUUGCAUUCGAUGAUGGGUCUUGACAGGCUGCUCAAAGCUUGCAUAUUCGAUGAUGGGUCUUGACAGGCCAUUCAAACUUUGAAUUAUAUCAACAAUCUUGUACAAGCUAUUGUUGGAAAUAAUAUCUGUUCCAAUAGAUCAAAUUUUAAAAAGAUUAUAACAUUACACCAAAAAUAUCAAAAAUAUGAUACAUACAAUAAUUAAUUACUACCUACUAGGUAUUAUUAACGACAUUGCCGUUGAAGGAAAUACAACUUGCUGUGUUGAAGAAAAUAUAACUUCCUCUAUUGUACCAUAUCCAUAUCCCAAUUGUCCAUGUGGUGGCAUGGGUGGACAGUCUUGAAAUUGUUCUUCAUUCUGGGUAAGGAAAAAGUAUACCUGAUAUAAGAGGAUAAGAGGAUGAGCUUCUGAUGAUUUUUUUUUUUUGCAUUCGAUGAUGGAUCUUGACAGGCUGCUCAAAGCAUAUUCGAUGAUAGGUCUUGACAAGCCAUUCAAACUUUGAAUUAUAUCAACAAUCUUGUACAAGCUAUUGUUGGAAAUAAUAUCUGUUCCAAUAGAUCAAAUUUUAAAAAGAUUAUACCAUUACACCAAAAAUAUCAAAAAUAUGAUACAUACAAUAAUCAAUUACUACCUACUAGGUAUUAUUAACGAUCAGAGCCAAUACUUACAAGCAAUAACUAUCAGUUAUAUCUAUUGUAAGCCAUUAAGACUACAUUAUAAAAGAUUUUACGAAUGUUAAUUAGUAGGUAUCUUUGUUAAAAAUCACUACCAUGAGAGAUUCUUUUGUGGACAAAUGUUAACCAAUGUCUCUUUUGUGGAGGAGACAUGUCAAAUGUAUCAGAGCAACGAAAAGAAAAGGCCAAAUAUUUAAACCUAUAAUCAUCACAUUUGAGAGAGUAGGUUUAUAUAUAUAAAAUUAGGAUAAAAAAAGUUGAAUCUAACAACACAUGAUAUAAGGGGUAAUUUGAACAAGAUGUUGAGUACAAAAUCUUUAGGCAAAUAAUCAACCGCCAUUGUAGAUAUUGGCUUCGUUGAUGAGGAUCCCAAGCAAGGCAACUAAAAAAUCAAAGGACAGAGGACCCUUCCCACAAGUGGAGAGAUUUGUAAAAGGAGAGCCUUAAAUCCACUAAAAACAGAGGCUUGCACAUAAGAUCCAGGGUUGGUUCUGAGAGAGAGAGAGAGAGGGAGGAAGGAAUGGAGAGGACGUUAGAAAAGGCUUAUGAAAUUAAAGAGGGAGAUGAACUCUUAGCCACUAAGUAAGAAUAGUGGACCCACAUACCACAUCGAUAACUUACCAUGUUUAUCAAGAUUGUCUGGUGGCAAGAAACGUGUGGGUUUCCAACAAUUCCCCUAGAAGAGUACUGCUCCAUGCAAAGUAAAUCGGAUCAAAGGCAUCACGUGGUUGGCAUUAACAUAAUACUGACACAGAGUAAGUUUACAAAGUUUAGAAAGUCAUACAUAGUUGGCAGAUACUCAGACUAGCUAGUAAAUCGUAUUUGAGUUCAAAAGAAAAAUGGAACCAAAAGAAUGUUGCUUAUCAAUGGAAAGAAAUGAAGUUAACCCAUUAUGAUUUGUUAAAUUCACUUUACUACUACUGCCCUAAAAAUUAUAAAAGUUUUAUAUGACAUUUAAUAUUAUAUGACAUUGAACAAAAAUAAUGACAUUUUAAUAAGAGAACAGGGAACAGGAAAACCACUUUAGCUUCUGAUUCAGUUUCGUUGCUUACCUUUACUAUGUAUUCUUUGCUAUUUUGCUCAGCCUUCUUAAAGAUUAUCUUUCUAUUUUAAGCAUUUUCAUCCUUCUUUACCUUCAGCUCUUGGUUCUUCAACAAUGACCAUUCCUCACUUCUCUUCCUUUUCUUUAGCACAGAUUAAAUAUUAUAGCAGCUGCCUUGGUUUCUUCAACAAUUUCUAAUCAUAAAGAAACAUCCAAUGUAUCAAUGCAAGAACAUUAUGAACUAAAACUCUAUUAAGGACUCAAAUAACCAUUUACGCCCUUUCCAAAAAGAAGAGCAACCGUUAAUCAUAGUUAAAACUGGACAAGACCCUAGGCAAAGCAACGUUAAUGAAGGUGCAAUAUUAUCCAUAUAGCAAUCAUUCAACUACGCAGGUCUCACAGGAAAAUAAAAUCCAUUUGGUAUUUGCUUAAUUAAAACAGUCAGUCAAGUAAACUAAUUAACCCAUAACUAUCUUUAUUAUUUAAAAAAAACAACAACUAGAAGAAUAAAAUGAAAAUUCCUAUAAAUUGCUUUUUAGAACCAAAAGUCAAUUUGCUGCACGUCAAAACAAGUAAUUCAAUAUCCAAGCAUCAAGAUUAUCAGGGCCAGAAUAUAAUAACAGAGGAAAAUGAAAACUUAUGGGGCAUGAUCUACAAUUGUAUGUCUGAGAAUUUCAACAAAUUACUGAAAAAAAUAGAACAAUAGAUCAUGCGGAAACUGAUUCAAGCGACAGACAAAGCAACACAGCUAAAACCAGAAAUUAAUAUAGACCGAACGGCCGUGAGCAGGAAGAGGGAGACGCUGCUCAAAGGAAAGAAAAUAAAGACAGAGGAUUGAAAAUAAAGACAGGGAUUUCCUCUCUCUAAUUUUUUUUUAAGUACCGCAAUUAUACUUCUUGUAUCCACGAGACCAACACAAAUACAUUUAAUCACUCAAUUUCAACCAAUCCAAAUAUCACAAAUACAUUUAGAUAUGCUCAUGAAUAUCAAUAUAAUGCAACCCAGAUCGCGUAAAUAUCAACAGAUCUUGAAAGAAAUUGUGGAGAAAUUUCACAAAUAUCAACCCAUACACAAAAGAUGCUAGCAACAAAUCUUGAAAUAAAAGUGAUUAUACAUAGAUAUCAAUGGAUCUUGAAUGAGAUUGCAGGCAAAUAUAACAAAUAUCAACACAUACGCGAACGACAGAGCAGAAGCAAGCGGUUGCGGUUGGGUGCGGCGUGCGGCUGUCCUUGGGUGCUGGUUUGCUGCAAGUUGUUUAGGGAAAAAGAAGUUGAAGAAGCAGAAGCAGUGGGCAGGAGAAGUUUAGGGAAGAAUCAGUCUUCCCAUUUGGGGCGGCAGUUUCUUUGGAGCAGAGAAUAUGAUGUUGGGUGGGGGCACUUAGGGUUUGCUUUUAGAU
rnacentral:lncRNA from 1 species